GGAAAUUUGAGAGGAGCUGUCCUUAGUACGAGAGGACCGGGAUGGACGCACCGCUGGUGUACCAGUUGUUCUGCCAAGGGCAUAGCUGGGUAGCUAUGUGCGGAAGGGAUAAGUGCUGAAAGCAUCUAAGCAUGAAGCCCCCCUCAAGAUGAGAUUUCCCAUAGCGUAAGCUAGUAAGAUCCCUGAAAGAUGAUCAGGUUGAUAGGUUCGAGGUGGAAGCAUGGUGACAUGUGGAGCUGACGAAUACUAAUAGAUCGAGGACUUAACCAUAUAA
rnacentral:rRNA from 1 species